UUCUCUUCUUCUUCUCUUUCUUCUGUUCUUCAUGUCUUUCGCCCUUUCGAAUUAAAUUCUAAUGAAUAGUUUCUUUUUGUGAGUGAUUCAUGUAAUCUUGAGAUCCAGAUAAAUCGAAGAAGAGGGUGAUGAAUCUGGAAGCUAAUUGAGCUCUGAAUGAAGAAGAAAUAGAAAUUAGGGUUUCUGCUAGAAUUGAAUAUGUUGUAUAUUUGGAAGAGGAGUUCGAAUUAGAAUAUGCAUAUGGAGAUUAGAGAUGGGUAUUGUGUGUUGAGAGUAAGGGAGGAGAUUUAGCUGCUGAUUCUCAACUCACAUGGAAGAAUUAGUGGGGUUUGUUGGUGCUGUAAAUUCGAUCAGUGAGGUGAGGAUGAACGGUGAGAAACCCAGAUGGAUAUGGUGAAUGGUGCAUUGCAAAACUACAUCGGAUCAAGUUUUGCAAUCCGCUUUUCAGAAACCAUUUGGUUGUAUUACUACCAGCAGGCCUUUUCUCUCCUUAAAUACAAUGUUUAAUACAUCAUUUUUUUGAUAUUUAAAUAUUCUAUCCUAUCGAGUUGGUAUUUAGUUCCAUUACAGGUGAAUGAACUAAAGCUAAUUGAUUCAGCUGACCCACAUUAGCAUUUAGCGGCUAGGGGUAGAAAAUUGAUCAUAUUCAUGGGUUAGCAUGAUAGAGAACUUCAGGUAAGUGGUGCAAUCCAUUUAUGAUAGGGUCUGAAUUCAAAUAAAAACCAAUUAGAUCACAUGGAUGGAUAACAAAUGUCUCUGUGUGAUCAUAUUAUCAUAACACACUAUAUUCCGUUUACAACUCAUUAAUGUUUAAGGUUUAAGGUUUAAGUGUACAAUAAUACACAAAUCAAUUUCAUCUUUCUGUCUUCAGUAGGUGUCAGCAGAUUGAGUAGCUAUUUUUAUUGGUUUUUGUGAAUUCCAGAUUAACACUGAUUGUGACGGUUAUGACUUAUGAUAUAUGCAGCAGGUCAUUUUUCUGGUGCUCAUAUGAAGCCUGCUGUCACCUGUGCAUUUGAACCUGUAAGGCCCUUCCAUGGGGUGCACAAUGAAUGAUGGAUGUUUUUAGUGAAGCACCAUCCUAUGCCAAUACUACUAUGAGGCUUGAGGCAGAGGGAAGCUGGAACAGUGUUGCUUUACUUGGAUCACAUGCAUCAGUACAGAUGAAAUAAGUAAUUGCAAAGAGGGUUCUAAUGAUUUGCAGGCUGCUUCUGUCUGAGUAAAACUCCAACACCAUUACAAGGAAGAUGUUUAUGUUUAAGGCCGGGGAUGUACGUUUAUGAAGUUACUCGCAGGACUAAUUCUACUUGAUGCAUUUCGGUAGAAGAAACAGUUUCUUCAAUUCUAGGUUGAGACAUAAAAGUGGUUGCUGAAGUGAACCACAGUGUAUAAUAUCUAAAAGGAUGAAAAAAUGGGGGACAACAACAGUAGCUGCACUUGGUAGAUUUUUAAAUCAUGCAAAGGCGAAAGAUGCAUUUUAUGUCUCCAUUCCAAAUGCUACUGCUUCAUGAAGAACAUGAUGAGUUUAUGACUCAACUCCUUCAUAUAUUGAGCUCCCCAAUUACCUCUUUUUAUAUUUCCCAUUUGGGCAGUGACUUCCUCCAAUUAUCUUUGUUGUAUCUUAUUUUGGUGUCUGCAAAUGUGUGACAUGGCCGGAAUAAACUCUAAACAGAAAUCUUAUGAAAAAGCAAGGAAGGUGAUCUAGAUUCAGUUGAAUUUAUAUGGGGAACUAAAGAGUGGACCUUUUUUUUUCU